rnacentral:rRNA from 1 species
CAGCAGCCGCGGUAAUACAUAGGUCGCAAGCGUUAUCCGGAAUUAUUGGGCGUAAAGCGUUCGUAGGCUGUUUAUUAAGUCUGGAGUCAAAUCCCAGGGCUCAACCCUGGCUCGCUUUGGAUACUGGUAAACUAGAGUUGGAUAGAGGUAAGCGGAAUUCCAUGUGAAGCGGUGAAAUGCGUAGAUAUAUGGAAGAACACCAAAGGCGAAGGCAGCUUACUGGGUCUAUACUGACGCUGAGGGACGAAAGCGUGGGGAGCAAACAGGAUUAGAUACCCUGGUAGUCCACGCCGUAAACGGUGAUCAUUAGUCGGUGGGAGCCACUGACGCAGCUAACGCAUUAAAUGAUCCGCCUGAGUAGUAUGCUCGCAAGAGUGAAACUUAAAGGAAUUGACGGGGACCCGCACAAGCGGUGGAGCAUGUGGUUUAAUUUGAAGAUACGCGGAGAACCUUACCCACUCUUGACAUCCUUUGCAAAGCUAUAGAGAUAUAGUGGAGGUUAACAGAGUGACAGAUGGUGCAUGGUUGUCGUCAGCUCGUGUCGUGAGAUGUUUGGUCAAGUCCUGCAACGAGCGCAACCCCUAUCUUUAGUUACUAACGAGUCAUGUCGAGGACUCUAGAGAUACUGCCUGGGUAACUGGGAGGAAGGUGGGGAUGACGUCAAAUCAUCAUGCCUCUUACGAGUGGGGCAACACACGUGCUACAAUGGUCGGUACAAAGAGACGCAAUACGGUGACGUGGAGCAAAUCUCAAAAAGCCGAUCUCAGUUCGGAUUGAAGUCUGCUAUUCGACUUCAUGAAGUCGGAAUCGCUAGUAAUCGCAGAUCAGCUAUGCUGCGGUGAAUACGUUCUCGGGUCUUGUACACACCGCCCGUCACACCAUGGGAGCUGGUAAUACCCAAAGUCGGUUUGCUAACCUCGGAGGCGACUGCCUAAGGUAGGACUGGUGACUGGGGUGAAGUCGUAACAAGGUAGCCGU